rnacentral:rRNA from 1 species
AGUGAACGCUGGCGGUAGGCCUAACACAUGCAAGUCGAACGGCAGCACAGGAGAGCUUGCUCUCUGGGUGGCGAGUGGCGGACGGGUGAGGAAUACAUCGGAAUCUACUCUGUCGUGGGGGAUAACGUAGGGAAACUUACGCUAAUACCGCAUACGACCUACGGGUGAAAGCAGGGGACCUUCGGGCCUUGCGCGAUUGAAUGAGCCGAUGUCGGAUUAGCUAGUUGGCGGGGUAAAGGCCCACCAAGGCGACGAUCCGUAGCUGGUCUGAGAGGAUGAUCAGCCACACUGGAACUGAGACACGGUCCAGACUCCUACGGGAGGCAGCAGUGGGGAAUAUUGGACAAUGGGCGCAAGCCCGAUCCAGCCAUACCGCGUGGGUGAAGAAGGCCUUCGGGUUGUAAAGCCCUUUUGUUGGGAAAGAAAUCCAGCUGGCUGAUACCCGGUUGGGAUGACGGUACCCAAAGAAUAAGCACCGGCUAACUUCGUGCCAGCAGCCGCCGUAA